AGUGAACGCUGGCGGUAGGCCUAACACAUGCAAGUCGAACGGCAGCACAGUAAGAGCUUGCUCUUACGGGUGGCGAGUGGCGGACGGGUGAGGAAUACAUCGGAAUCUACUUUUUCGUGGGGGAUAACGUAGGGAAACUUACGCUACUACCGCAUACGACCUACGGGUGAAAGCAGGGGAUCUUCGGACCUUGCGCGACUGAAUGAGCCGAUGUCGGAUUAGCUAGUUGGCGGGGUAAAGGCCCACCAAGGCGACGAUCCGUAGCUGGUCUGAGAGGAUGAUCAGCCACACUGGAACUGAGACACGGUCCAGACUCCUACGGGAGGCAGCAGUGGGGAAUAUUGGACAAUGGGCGCAAGCCUGAUCCAGCCAUACCGCGUGGGUGAAGAAGGCCUUCGGGUUGUAAAGCCCUUUUGUUGGGAAAGAAAAGCAGCAGGUUAAUACCCCGCUGUUCUGACGGUACCCAAAGAAUAAGCACCGGCUAACUUCGUG
rnacentral:rRNA from 1 species